rnacentral:misc_RNA from 1 species
AACCCAAUUUAGGAUUUUAACUGUAAACAAACCAAACAGAUAUUUGGAUUUUAAGAACCUAUCAAAAGAAUACGGAAAGGAUAUACUAAAUGAGUCGCCAGACUGGACCCUCACCUAGUGUAGGAGUGUUCGGUAUUUCCCUAGGGUCCACAGUACCCCAGAACGAGACCCAGGGGAGUCACUUCCUCCAAACACUCAGAGUUGAUCUCUUUGGAAGCCGAUGUUUUAAUUAAAAAAGGAGCCCUAGAUGAACUCGCCAAAGCACAAGAAGAAAAUCGAGUUCUGAGGAUACUUGCUUUGGAUGGAAAAAAAUGGAGGGAUCAAGCAAAUGAACUGAGUCGGGAAAACGAUCGUCUGCGACUGCUUACUGAAGAUCUUACUUUGGAGAGCAGACGACAGCGUCAAAUCGUAAAUGAACAAGAAGAGAAGAUGAAACUGAUGGCCAUGAUAUUUGACCUGAAAGACAUGGAGCUGCGCCAAGAGAGGGAGACCAAUCUCCAGCUAAAGAGGAAAUUGAAGACGUUGUCCAAUCCAGAGGAGACUCCGGAGCGCCAUGGCCGCUUCAAGCGCCAGUCGCUUAAGGAUUGUUCUCGCUGCCACGCCGAGAUCUCGACGACCGCACUCUGUAGAUACCACCCGAAAAUACCCGUUAAACUGGACGGGAAAUUCUACUUCCCUUGCUGUCAGAAAUCCGGGGUAAGGGAGCCAGAGGGUUGCCAUCGUGAUGGUCAGCAUACCGUUGUUUUCGCUUCCUGAAAUGGCCCCUUACCCUUCCUUUCUCCACACCUCUAAAAAAAGCUCAAGACGAGUAUUAUUGAACUUCGUAUAGCAAGACUUUCUGUGAAAGUUUUAGAGUAUUAUAUUUUUGCUGGUAAACAGGCGAUAUAGUAUUAGACGAUAUAGUAUUAGUCCUCUGUCUUUCUCGCUUUGUUCAGUUGUGUACUUAUAAUAAGAUAUGAAUUUUUAACUCUCCUAUUUGGAACCAAUACUAUAUAUAUGAAGGUUGUUAGUAUUUCUUACAGUUAUAAAUGGUGAAAAAGCUCAACAGAAGUGUCUUAAAUUACUGAUUAAGGGACAUAGUUUCAAUGGCAAUUGAAAAUUGUUAAUUAAUGCAGAAAGAACUUUAAUUGUUGUUUGCUUGUCAUUUCGCUGUACAUAUUAGCUUAGACUUAUUAGGAAAAUUUGUGCGUAGUUAAGUAACUGGAUAUUCAUAUAUGUUUGCUAGUACUAGAACUUUUCCCGCGAUCGAGUUCGAACGUAUGAUCAUGACAUCAAAAUUGAAAGAUAUUUACAUAUUUUAAAAAUAUAGAGGAAAAAUGACUGUACCAAAAAGAGAUUAUUUUUUUUAUCGCAUUAUGCUAAAUAUAUUUAAAUUAUAAGUGUAUGUGUCCUGUUUAGUACAAUGUAUAAUGUCGCCCAAACCCUCAUCCUACAUGUAUUAACUAUUAAGCUUUCCCCUCUCCACCCGUCCUCUUCCCGGUGCAUUGAAUAGACUUUUUGGAUUUAACUUGAAUUUCUACAACUGAAAAUAUAAUAAGCAUUGUAUUUCAUUUUUUUUUUCAAUUGAAAUAUCCCGUGUUCUGCCUUCAAUGAUAUUACAACGUGUUCUUAAAAAUUAAUGAUUUGUAUAUUUGAUUUACAGAAGAUGGUUUAUUGCAAUAUUUUUGCAAUAUUAUUGCAAUAUAUGUGUACUUAUUUUGCUUAUUUAAACUUAUUUUUUUCUUUACUUUAAUUUAUGGUGUACUUUAAUUGAUUCAAUAAAAUUGUUUCGACC